rnacentral:miRNA from 1 species
UUAGCACACCAGUGUGGUUUCCUUGC